AAAAGUGUUUGCAAAGGCUGCAGAUGGCAAGCACUCCCAUUUUUUUCCAGAAGAGACUUGCAGUACCAAUCAGAGACUCAUUGAGAAUUGGCCCACACAUGCACGCGCGGGCUUGUGCACAUGCACACACAGUUAUAUGAGCACGGAUCGGCUCGUGUACACGCGCGCAAAUAUACGCGCACACAUCUGGUCUAAUGUCUAAAGCUGAGGAGCUGGUGAGUGGGGAGACAGGCAUGCUCAGUGGAGCUCACUGAAG